UAUAAAGAGAAUUCUCAAAUGUCCUUCUUUGGUUUCCCACAACUGCUUUUAAAUAAAUAGAUACACUAAAGAGGGCACUUGAUGGCAUGAGCACUGAGCAUUGUACUAUAUGUUGACAAAUUAAAUUUAAAUAAAAUAUUUUAAAAAAGAAAGAGCAAAAUAAAAUAAGUCAAUAGAGACACUUAAAUGCCUAAAGUUUUGAGUUUUAAGCUCCAUUUCCUAGAGGAAAUUAGGCACCUAAAGAAGUUUCUUAAGUCUGUCAAAUAUUAGGGGCAGAAGCCAGAUCUGUAAGCUUUUCACUUAUUACUAAAAACAGCCAUGGGGGCCAGGGAACCCGGGCUUUCACAGACCUCUUUACAGAGCUUUUCUUCACCUUCGCUGGAAUAGUACCUAUCAAAAUCAGUCAAAGUGUAGGUAAUCUAAUAGGAAUAUGUUUCCUUCAGGAUUACAGGCACAAGAAGCAUGCUUAGCUAAAUGCUGAAUGUUAAGCUGAGAGACAAAAAAAAAAAAAAAAAAAAAAACUCAGAUCUCCAGUAAAAGAUAUAUGAAUUACUUUUUUCAUUUUAAGAAACAAAAAAAAUGUGUUAAAUCUUGAUUAAAAAAGAAAUGAAAGCCAUGCUUCAUUAUGAGUACUCACAAUCUAGAAAAUGGUAUAGUAAGAAAGCAUUAGUCAUCAACUUAGCGAUUAGAUAGCUUCCUUUCACCAUCUCAACACCUAGUGCCAUACAAGAGUAUAUUCACUUUAGGGCCUAAGUUCACAUCAAUUAAGCUUAACUGUCCUUGGCCAAUUGAACAGCAAAUCUAUGACAUGCACCUGCUUUUGGAUAUAUUGAUAUAUCAAUAGAUGAUAGAUGAUAGAUAGAUAGAUAAUUAUCUAUCUGUAGAUAAUAUCUAUAUGUAUAUACAUCAUUAUUAACAGUUUUUUUUCCUUAAUGCUUCUAUUACUUCAACCAGACUGCUUCGCCAGCACGCGUCAUCAGUGAUGAUACCUGAUGAUCAAGCAUUGCCAUUUCGGGGGCAGUGUUUCCUAUAUUGAAGAACAUUGCGAUCGAACUGGAGCAUCAGCAUUGUAAAUACAACUACAUAUACGCUGCCGCUACUCUACUGAUUCCGUCACCAGGUAGUAUUAACUGUCUACUGUGUCCAUUCAACUCUAGUUCAAUUCAGCUCUCGGCCUCCUCCACACCUAGUUCCCAAGAAUGGGACGUGUAGGGAAAAAAUAGUCAACCAUGACCACCAAUGA
rnacentral:lncRNA from 12 species